AUUGGUUUUAGAAUGAUACCUUCAAAGGCCAAUUUGUUCUGAGCACAGCAGACAUCGAGGCAGUCAGCUAUGUAUUUCCUACUUUGAAAUGAAACUUUCAACUCAAGGCCUUCGACGAAGUUCUUGACACUACUAUUGAGUUUGACGUCUGGUAGGGCAUGUAUAUCGUGAACAAAACCUCCAUUGACCUGAAGGCUUUCUUGGUUCGUAUCCCCAAACAGGAUUGCCAAAAUUGAAGAAAUAACGAAUCAAUUCCCCCAAGCCCUACCCCUCUUAGAGGACAAGAAAAGUUACUGUACCUACCUCCUCAUAUGCUCCAACAAAAACCGGCAAGAAAAGCUCUCUAAGCAGAAAAGAAAGUUUUCUUCCCAGAUCUGAACAGGAAGGUGCUACCCCACUUGCCAAGAGAACCAGAUCCACCUACAAAGCGAACAUUGCAACUAGUCCCUCCAGUUCUUCCUCUCUAAAGGAAUUAAGCCAUUCUGAAAUGCAACCCUUAAGGAUUUCACAAUAACUUCUAUAAGCAGGACUGCAUCAUGCCCAGAAGUGAGUAUAAAUGACGUAAUUCCUGUUGCUGUUCUCUUUGAAGUUCUGUAGGCUCACAAUACUUCUGACAAGAAUUCAUGCCAAAUCUUAGGUACGAGGCAUGGCUUCUUGGAUCACAUUUGUCUUGUUCUUGUCCACCCCAAUUCCUCUCUGAUGAACCAGAAAUCCCAAGAAAUUUCCUACGGUAACACCAAAAGCACACUUCAAAGGAUUCAUUUUCAAGUCGUAUUUCUAUAACAUUGCCCGAGGGGUAGCAGUGCGCGUUAAACAAUUCAGACCCUCAAUUUUUUCGAUCUAGUCUUAUGAGUGCAAUGUGAAACAUAGAUGCGAGUCUAGAUUUGGAAAAUUUUAUAGAAAAUCCAUUUUAUUGCAAAACUAUUGCUAGAAAU